rnacentral:tRNA from 1 species
ACUUGAAUAAUUUAAGUUUAAAAUGUCAGCUUGUGGGCCUGGUUAUGUAUAUUAUUACUUCGAGUU